UACGAAGGGGGCUAGCGUUGUUCGGAAUUACUGGGCGUAAAGCGCGUGUAGGCGGGUCCUUAAGUUAGGGGGGAAAUGCCAAGGCUCAACCUUGGAACUGCCUUUGAUACUGGGGAUCUUGAGUCCGGGAGAGGUGAGUGGAACUGCGAGUGUAGAGGUGAAAUUCGUAGAUAUUCGCAAGAACACCAGUGGCGAAGGCGGCUCACUGGCCCGGUACUGACGCUGAGAUGCGAAAGCGUGGGGAGCAAACAGG
rnacentral:rRNA from 1 species